CUCCUCCUCCUCCUCCUCCUCCUCCUGCCUCCUCCUCCCUCCUCAGCCCUGCUGGGAAAAUACGGUCGGCGUCCAUGAUGAAACCUCUGUCAUUCAAUGCACAGCAGAAUCCAUGGUGGAGUUACAGCCUGGACUAUGUCUGCUACAUGCUAGCAUAGAUUUUCUUCAUGUAACCGAACCGUGUGGAUCCUGGUAAAGUGAAACAAAGGCCACCCUGACCCCCCACCUCCUCCUUGUUAUCCUGUCAUGAUGACAUCAGAGCCACAGAUCUGAGACUGGCCUGGUCUCCCUCCACCAAGACCUUGAAGAAGCCUUCAGCUGGUCCUGUGUCCCUCCCUCUGCAGAAUGCUCUUCACAUGCUGUAUGAUUGUCUGAGCUUCCUUGCCAGGAAAAAAGUUUACUUACAAGACUCUGAUUCUCUGGUCUCUUUAUUUCAGAAGUCUCACCAGGUCAGAUUUCCAUCACACUACUUAAGUUGUGUUCUAUAGAACCUGAUGUUUCCUCAGGGACCGGACUCAUGUGAUCCUGGACCAGAACCUGAGUCUCAACCUGAGCCUGACGUCACAAGUGACCUCACUGCUAAUAAGUGAGCUCUGGCUCCAUUAAGAAUGCAGCUGGUUGUUGUUUAAGAUAAACUGCCUGAGACACUUCCUGGUAGUUUGGCUCCAUCUGGUGGAUUUAAUACAAACUGCAGCAGAUGCUUGAUGCGAGUGCACAGACGAUACGAGAGAAAUAAAAGACAUUUCCACCUUUUCAAAGAUGCAGGAUCCUCAGGAGAGUUCACACAGAUCUGUAAAAAGGAGAGCCCCCCCUACCCCCCCUUCACUGAAUGAACUGCAGCUGUGUUGAAGAGACUGAGACAGAAACUCCUCAGGAACAUGUUCAGUGACGUCAUGAAGUGAGAAGAGUCAGUUUCUCAUCGUUCACUUCAGUCACAGGUUUCAAACACUUCACUUGCUGGAGUCUACGUGUGUUUCACUGAAGUAACGACCUGAUCCCUGAUUGGUGCUUCACUCACCUCCUCCUCCUCCUCUUCAUCACUGCUCCACCUCCUCCUCCUCUUCAUCACUCCUCCUCCUCCUCCUCCUCACCCGUCCGUCACAGAAACACGUCCCCAACGUCCUAAUCACAGCUGCUUCAGUUCCACCUUAACAGUAACAGUGAUGUACAAAGUGAAGUACUUGUAGAUAGAAUGUAAGUACUUGAUUUCAAAUAUACCACAAGCAUUAAAGUACAAGUACCUGCAGAGUGAAGCUGGUUCAUUGGUGGUCUCUGCAGCAGGAGGCGUGGCCUAGUGUUACCUGCCCGCUCUGAUUGGAUGAAUGGACCAGAUAUGAAGUACUUUAACAAUAUAUCAAACGUGUACAAAUGUAGCAUCGAGUACAGAUCUUUGCUGAUAUAUGCAGAGGAGUUAAAGUAAAAAGUAUCACUAGUUAUUUAGAAAGGAAUUUGUUAAACAUUGGAGAUAAUGAACCAGCUCUUAAUGUGGUGGAUUGAAUUGUCCUUCCUCAGAAUGUAAAUAAAGAUGGACGACACGUCAUAAAAUGUGA